UGUGUGCAGUUGUGUUGUGUUCUGUUGUCACUAUCACUGUUGUUACGACCCCCAAUAUGCCUAGGGGUAUAAAGGGUGUAACACUGAGAAUACAUUAUUAUUGUGGAAACUGGGUACAUAAAAGACCAAGACAACAGAGCUAUAUUCCCAAACAAAGUGGUUAAUUUUUAUACAAAUGGUAGAUGCCGUGAAUAUGUGCAACAGGUGAAAAUUUGAAGUAUUUACAGUACUGAUAGAAAAAACAGGUGGGGGAAAGGGGACGUAAGCAGUGCCAAAUCAAAGAACAAAACAAAACAAAAAACACGCGCUAACUUUAUCCCAGUCCCCCUAGACUGACUAACAAAAGAAAAUGUAAAACUUAAUACCAAUCGUCAGCGUCAAGACACCCUUAUUAAUCUGCUCUGCCUAACACAAACACAAAACUUUAACUAGUGUUUCUAAAACAAACGAUGUAACUACAUGUGCACCAUGUAGGUCAUGUGACAUACUUACUUGUCCUCUUUGACCCGUGUUAACACACACGAACAACAACGAUUUGACAAAAUGCGGAAACAUCAGGACAGCACAAUUACACACAGCGGCCGUUUUAUUAUUUAUAAUUAGAGCAGAUAACACACAAUAGCGUGGUUGAAAAUGGAGCCAACAACAGACUGGCAACAUUUCGUUUUGGAUGGGUUUUUAAACAGUCGGCGGAUUGGCGGAGGUAGGGUAAUGACGUCAGACCGGUAACAAUGAUUAACGCUUCGAUGAUCCAAUGGCGAGUGUCUGUGAGCAUGAUAGGAGGAGACGGGAGAGAGAGAGAGAGAGAGACUACACAACAACAAACCAAAACACAGACAAGUGUACAGGAUGUAACAGCUGUGGAGGACCUGUUUUUAGAUAAACACAACGAGUUUUUGCUUGAACGCCCCAAUGCCGCGAUGAGGGUGCGUGAACUGUUGCUCUCGUGUCCUAUCAUGAACACACACAGGAGAUCAACAGCUGACUGUACAUUAUCAUCAGUGACACAUUCUCCUCAAACCCUCACUAAGAUUCAAUAUCAAGAGGAAAGAGUACAGCGAACUGAAGAACACGCAAGUCUCACCUACUGCUUCUAGUUCAUCCGUCAUGCUGACAAGUUCUGAUGUUUCAUACAGAAGACAGAAGUACUAUAGAUACAAGUGGUGAACCUGAGCAAGCACUAACUGUCUGUCGGUCUGUCUCGGGUAUCUUUUGUGGCCAGGCUUUCAGCUGAAGGGGUGUAGUUAAAGCGAUUGGGGGAAGGCUGAGGACUAUCUAACCCCUCUGUGUUCUCUAGUCAACAGGAAGUCAAGAGGUAUACAUCUGUCACAGGCUUGAUAAAACCCUCUAAUGCAAAACCCCCUGCCCCAAAAACUGCCCCAAAGCAAACUCGCCCUUCACUGCGGCAUGAAACACUAUGACUAUUGACUAUGCAGAAUGCGGUCUAUGAAUAUUGCCUUUUGAACUACUAAAUUACAAGGUUACAUAAAAAAAUUACAGUUUUUGACCAAUUAAUUAAAAUUGUAUUUCCACAACUUUUCUAGGUGUUAAAGAUUGCUGGAUGAUGUUUUUUUUACAAAUAUCAUGAAUUCUGAGUCAUAAAUAUCAAUACAUUUAGUAAGGGUUGCUCUAUUUGAUCUGAAUUAAAUGAAUGGUAUUUUUAAAAACUAAAGAGGUCCUCUUUGAUUUAUAGGUUUGUUUGUUUUUUUGCUAAGUGCUAUCUGCAUGUUGGUUACACCACCUGACUUUGUUUGGUGGACAAAUUGUUUUCAAUAUAAUAUUGUUUUACUUUAAUUCAGAGAAAAAAUCUCAAAAUGACUUUGAACUCAGAAAUAGAAAACAUGUUCAUCAUAUUAAAGCUGUUUUGUGUGAAUUGCAUUUUUUAUGUAUUUUUGAAUAACUUAAUAGAUCCGGGUUUAUGUCAUUGACCCGUACACAGAAAUGUAUUCUGCUCAUGUUUCAUCAGAAUCAGAAUGAGCUUUAUUGCCAAGUAUGCUUACACAUACAAGGAAUUUGUCUUGGUGACAGGAGCUUCCAGUGUACAAAAAUACAAAAACAAUACAGAGAUAAUAAUAAAUAGAAUAAAAAUAAAAAGUGAAUAGAAAAGUACUAGAAGUACUGUAGAAGUACUGAAAUAGAAGUACUGUAUAUAAAGAAAUACAUAAUAAGACAAAACAAUUAUAUAUAUAUAUAUAUAUAUAUA